AGAGAGUCAGCUACAGAGGUGGUGUGAGUGAAGAAGAAAUUGAAGGAGAGAGAGAUGACAAAAUAUCAAAAGAUAGAAAGCACACUGUACCAUGCGAGCUAAAUUGGUGAGCGAUGUGAUCGAGGAUGUUGGAUUAAUGGUGACCACCACAGCCCGUUUUCGCAGAGGAAGCCUUUCUAUUGCAACUUGGCUCCAGAGGCUCCGCGGGGAAACAUGGCCGAAGGAGGGGCGGGCAAAGGUGUCGGUGAAGACCCCGACAAGUCCCCCGAGCGAGGGGAGAGAGGCGGUCCACAGAGCGUGUCAGGGGCAGGCUUCUGCAAAUGGUUCAACGUGCGGAUGGGCUUCGGGUUUAUCUCCAUGACUAGCAGCGAGGGGAGCCUCGUCGAGCCUCCUUUGGACGUCUUCGUCCACCAAAGUAAGCUAGUGAUGGACGGGUUCCGCAGCCUGAAGGAGGGCGAGCAGGUGGAGUUCACCUACAAGAAGUCCUCCAAGGGCCUGGAGUCCCUGCGGGUGACGGGGCCCGGCGGGGGGCCCUGCGCCGGCAGCGAGAGGAGACCCAAGGGGAAGGUCCUACUGCAGAAACGCAAACCAAAGGGAGACCGCUGUUACAACUGUGGCGGCCUGGACCACCACGCCAAGGAGUGCGGGCUGCCCCCCCAGCCAAAGAAGUGCCACUACUGCCAGAGCAUCGCCCACAUGGUGGCCCUGUGUCCCCACAAGGCGGCGGCGCCGGCCCCCGGAUCUCAGGACGAACACGCCUCUACCUCGGCCCCGCCCGGGGGCCAGGAGGAGGAGCAGCAGGAGGAGCAGCAGGAGGAGCAGCGGGCCAGGGGCGAGGAGGGCCACCGCCCCGGCUCCUCCUUGCGAGGAGGCGUCUCCUCCACCUCCACCUCCUCCUCCUCCUCCCACUCCUACUCUCCGGAGGGGGCUCCGGGCGUGCGGCCGCGCCCCGCCACCAGCCGGAGACGCAAGAAAUCCUGAAUAUGCCCAAAAAGCAUACACCCCCCCCCCCCCAAAUCUGCACCGCCCUCCCCAACCCUCUACCUUAACUGAGUGUAAACCUCUGGACCUUCCUAUUUGAGCCCCCAGCCUCCCUCCCUUCCAGUCCUUCAGCUAAGGACACUGCAGGCCCCUCCCCCUCCUCAACUACCUCACAACUGGGAAAACAAAUUGGGAGGUUUUUAUUGUUUUUUUUAUUUAUGUAUUCUGUUUUACUUUUUGAACAAAAAAAUGUAUGACCUUGCCGUAAUGGCAACCACCGUACCGGGAACAUGUGUGCUUGAAUGCGUGUUCGUGUGUGAUUGGCUUGCGGGGAGGUCUAGUGCAGCUAUGGCAACCACUGUCGCUGGAGUGUUGACCGCAGGCAGCUGCUGAGCGUCUCAAUUGUGUUCUUGAAUCGCUUCAGCUUGGCAGGAACAGUUUGUCUUUGGUUUUCUUCUUUUUCAAAUGGUGUUAUUUUUCCUGCCUCCCACUGGACCUAGGAUGUCGACCAUUUGAAACACUUUAUUUUAGUUUCAACCCUUCGUUUUACGCAGAAAUUAUGUCAGGUUGCGUUCCAAAAUCAUUCAAUAAUCCACCGGGUUCAUCCAAUCCAGCACUUAGCGCACAAUGGCAAGAACGAGAGAAAUGUGAAGUGUUCACAUGACUCACUUUUUUCAGGCUAGAAACAAUUCACAACCAAAGAAUUGUUAUCUUUGUCCGUUUAUCUAUUUUUUGUUGCAGGAUCUUAAACCAACGUGUCUAAACAUAUUGUAAAUGUUGACUACAUACCUCUAACAAGAAGACAAAUAGACUGGACCAACUGAUUGUUGCAGUGAUGAACUGAAAGGUUUCAAAGAGGGCGUGUUUGUGUGUGUGUGUGUGUGCGUGCGUGUGUGUGUGUGUGUGUGUGUGUGUGUGUGUGUGUGUGUGUGUGUGAGUGCGUGUGUGCAUGUGCGUGUGUGUGUGUGGGUACGUGUGUGCAUGCGUGACAAGCUAUACUAGCACAACCUAUAUUCUUCAAUUUUUGGUUGUUAUUAACCUACCAGUUUACUAUAAUCAUAGAUAGAUCCAUCUUUAGAUAAUUAUUUUAUUCAGCUAGUUUAGAUCACAAAUUAGUACAUUGUCCAGUAAUUCAGUUGACGAUUAGCAUAUAUACAAUUUUGACGUUGGAUAUUUAGUAGAAAAAACAUUACCCUGAACUCACACCACUAGGUCAUUAGUAUUUGCCCAAACAAACAAGGUAUAAUGUAAAAUAAUAUUUAACAUUUAAGUAAUUCAUAUAUAAGGAGUUAAUUAAUGUAUAGCCCUAUUUAUUGCAUAUGGCCCUUUUGUCACACACGUAGGGCAUUUGAUUAACCCCUUAGCUAUAAAAAUAACUUUUAAAAUAGAAAACUCAUUGUUAUUGCCCUAUAUUUACCCAUUAGUUAUUCUACCCCAAAAUGUCUUCAAUUAUCAUAAUCCUAAACCCUUUUGACCCUUUGACACUAACCACAAAUUAUUAUGCUUUUUUGUAUAAUUAUCAGUUCAAUGUUAAAGGUAAAACACAGGUGCUAUCUUAACAUCAUAUUUGAUAUCUAAGUAAAUCAUACAUCAUCCUCUGUUACCUGUGUUCGAGACAAAAGAUUUGUUUUGUGUUCCACCCAAAAACCGUGCCACCUGGCCUUGUGUCACUGUGGUGUGGCCAGGGAGCUCAGUCCAACAGUCAAACCUCUACCACAUGCCGAGCGCUCCUCGCAGUUCAAAAACACCACGUGAACGAUGACGUCUCGAGAUCCUGGGGGAUUAUGUGCGACCGCUCAAGUAGUGACGACAAGGAGAAUGUAGGAAACUUCUGGUGUCUUUUAACAAGCAGCCCACAAAGCGCUGCCAGAUCACCGUAUGCGAACACAGCGAUUACCAUUACGUCGUAAGCAUAGCGCCGUCUGUUGCCGACUAUCAUGUGAUCCUGGCCAACUUCCUGUGUGCAUUCCUCCCAUCUGUGCCUACGAUGUGUGAGCGGAUAGCAUCGCUCAACAUUUUAUGAUAUAUUUCUACCAGAUGACAGCUAGGGAGAGAGAGAGAGAGGAGAGGAUGGAUGUAAGGGGCCGGGUGGCAGAGAAGUUAGCUGCUUUUCCAACUUGAAAGGCUUUGUGUGGCGCAUAAUAGUGGUGAACGAACACAACUCUUCUCCAUGUUGACCAUAUUGAAUGUGAAAGAGUUCCUCUGAGGUUAACUGCUUACAAAAGUUUCACGCCCAUGGGUCACUUCGGAGCUGUGUCUUAAUGUUCUGACAAAUCAAUGACUUUAUAUGAUGAUGAUAAUGAUGAUGAUAUCAAACUUGCUUGUGUGUUCUUAGUUCUAGUAGACAACCAACACCUUUAGGUAUGCAUCUGUACCAAAGAGUUUGGAUGAUGUUUCUGUUGAAGGCGCUUAGCGUACUCUUUCAGAGUAAGAGGGACUUAUUGCUGGAGGAUCAGCCCUGCAGUUGUCUGAAUGUACAGCUUUUUGAAUGUGUGCGUGCGAAAAAAGAAAAUCUAAUCCCACCAAUGCGUCAUGACAACAAAGAGAGUCGAGAAGAAAAAGGGGUUAAGCAUCAAACACAGGAGCACAACUCACACUGAAAUCUCUGUGGAAAUUACAUGCUUUUUUAGUUGUUGUUUUUCUUUUCUUUUUUAUAAUGUAUUUUCACUUUUUUUUAGUCACUAUUCCUCUCAGGAUGAUGAACUGUUCUCAGGGAAUUAACCAAAAAAAAAGUGUAUUUUAUUAUUUUGGAAGUCAUCCACCACAGACUGACUGAACAAGCUGAUGACCUCUCUCGUAUAACCCAUUCACAAACUGAUAUUAGGAACUACCUCUUGAGUUAUACAUAGCCGUACAUUUUAUCUGUUUACGGUUUUGUUACGUCGAUGACCUUGUAUGAACUGUAGGAUUUGUUUUACUGAGGUGUGUGUGACUGUGUGUUUUGAGGGUUGCCACUCUCCCUGGUCUUGCUCUCCAGAUUUGGUGACCUUUAUUAUUAUUAUUUUUUCAUUUCAUUGUAUUUCUUUUUUUCACUUUCACUGCAAAACUCUUUGAUUUUGUUUACAGCAAAAACCUACCUCAUAUUCACUAUUCCAACAGAACUUCUUACUACCUCCCACACAGCCACACCCGCCCCUAUUCCACACUCCUUCAUUCAGCUAUUUAUUGUGUUGCUGCUGGUGAGUUCAUAGGUGCCAUUCAGAGAGGACAAUAGAAUAACUAAAGCAAACAGCCAAUCAAAGCGUUGGGUGGCACGAGGCCUCACUCGGACCUAGACGAGGAACGGUCCAAACUUUAGCCUCCAGUGCAGUGCCAGAUAGGGCUACACUCUGUCUGACCGUUAGCGGUCAAUGGAUGCAGUCUAUGGUUGGAACUCAGUUAACACGUGGAGUAUUCUAGACGUGUAUUUAAGGCUGUUAAAAGAAAGAAAAAUCGUUUUACACUUAAAAACGAACAAGAUGACUGUUGUUUUUGGUUUUGUUUGCUUGUGUCAUCACUUCUUCUUCGUUACAUCUUAAAAUACAACCAUGACGAGGAGGCAGACGGUGGACAUAACCAAUAGGAUUGUACUACUCAUACGCACAAGGAGUGCCUAUCUAUGUGUUUGUCUGUCUGACCCUAUUGCAAAAUAGGGUUCCUUACUCAUCUUAGAGCUCCACGACGAUGAUGGUAUCCCCCGGCCAUUUUGACAACCUUAACUAAUCACAAGUCACAUGGUCCGGGGAAGGUGCCCCUUUCUCUCUGGAGAAAACUACAAUUGUAGUUUUUUUCUCUUGAGUGGCAUUAUUAACAUUUAACAUGAAAAAUAACAAAAAUAGAAUAUUGUAUUAAUAGAAAUGUUGCAUUAGAGAUCCAUCUCAAAUGAUGUUUAUUAAGAUGAAUAUUAUCAUAGUGCUUUUAUUUUGCAACUGAUGAGAUUAAAGGAUGGAUUGUUUUUCUUUAA